rnacentral:rRNA from 1 species
GUCCACGCCGUAAACGAUGAGUGCUGGAUGUCGGGGGUAUUCACCCCCCUCGGUAUCGAAGCUAACGCGAUAAGCACUCCGCCUGGGGAGUACGGCCGCAAGGUUGAAACUCAAAGGAAUUGACGGGGGCCCGCACAAGCGGUGGAGUAUGUGGUUUAAUUCGACGCAACGCGAAGAACCUUACCCAGCCUUGACGUCCUUGGAACCUGGUGGAAACACCGGGGUGUCCUCGCAAGAGGAAGCCAAGAGGCAGGUGCUGCAUGGCUGUCGU